GUGAUAGAGCGGCUUUGGUGGGCACCUGGCAUCCAGCCAGGGUCAACCCGCCACACAUGAGCACCUGGACAAGUCUCACUAGAGCUCUCUGUUGAAGAGUCAGGCACCAAUUCCUCAAUGUAUUUACAGAACGGCUCUGUUCCUCUGCCUGCACCCAUCCUUGUCUCUUUGGCUCCACCAUCAUGUUAUCAUCAAGCUCUGUACCCCAGAGGACAUCUUCCAUGGAUUAUCCUUUCUCUGCCUUAUGUACAGAUGCCAGGAAAGGGGGACGACCACUGAUGACCAUCGUGGGACAGCAUCCGACACCUUCCUUCUGUUAAUGCUAACUGCACCAUAGGUGUGCUGUACCAAAUGGAAGCUGU